rnacentral:rRNA from 1 species
GAUGAACGCUGGCGGCGUGCUUAACACAUGCAAGUCGAGCGAAGCACUUAAGUGGAUCUCUUCGGAUUGAAACUUAUUUGACUGAGCGGCGGACGGGUGAGUAACGCGUGGGUAACCUGCCUCAUACAGGGGGAUAACAGUUAGAAAUGGCUGCUAAUACCGCAUAAGCGCACAGGACCGCAUGGUCUGGUGUGAAAAACUCCGGUGGUAUGAGAUGGACCCGCGUCUGAUUAGCUAGUUGGAGGGGUAACGGCCCACCAAGGCGACGAUCAGUAGCCGGCCUGAGAGGGUGAACGGCCACAUUGGGACUGAGACACGGCCCAG